UACGAAGGGGGCUAGCGUUGUUCGGAUUUACUGGGCGUAAAGGGCGCGUAGGCGGCGCAUCAAGUCAGGCGUGAAAGCCCUGGGCUCAACCCGGGAAUUGCGCUUGAGACUGGUGUGCUUGAGUACGGGGGAGGAUAGUGGAAUUCCCAGUGUAGAGGUGAAAUUCGUAGAUAUUGGGAAGAACACCGGUGGCGAAGGCGGCUAUCUGGACCGUAACUGACGCUGAGGCGCGAAAGCGUGGGGAGCGAACAGG
rnacentral:rRNA from 1 species